rnacentral:lncRNA from 1 species
UGCCUUAGUUCUGAAUUCUUAACCUUUUGAGCCAUGUAGUGUAUGUUGUUCAUCAUGAAGAUAUGCUGCAAAGAAGGAUCCUUGUAUAACUUGGCCUUGUCAUCGAGGUUGCAUUCUAGAAUCGAAGCAACUGAUCGGAAGUGGAGAGCCAUAGAGGAAGCAGCAUAUGUCCUUCCACUUAUGUUCUCUUCUUCUGUGCGUGGACUUGAGUUAGGGGACAAUGAAAUGGGAUCCUUUAUGUCACGAUCCUUGAGGAGAAAAUUGAGAGUCUCACGGUAGUCAGUAAGAGUGUUGAUAUAAUUCAUAACAUAUCUAGUGAGAUGGUGAAUGCCCCCUCCUGCAAAAGGAUUCGGUGACACACUCGUGGCAAUGGCAUUCUCGAACUCGAGAAAUGCUGCCUUUACAGAGUCCCCUAAUCUCCUUAGAACCUCACGACAGUCAUUUCUAACACCAAAACCAGCCUCUGAGUAUAAAGAAUCUAUGUCUUGAAGUAGAUCUGCAAGAACCUCAUACAUAUCAAGAAGAGGAAACAACUUCUCCGGUUUGUGGGGGCCAAUAGAUAUGGCUUCGCCGAAAUUUAAUAGUUGCAACAUUGCAGCCUUUGAAGCCUCAGCAAAACAAACCAGAUUAGCUGUUCCAAGAUCUACAAAAAGCUGUUCAGUGAGCCAUUUCUCGCUAGGAAGAUAGACCGACACAAAGAUCUUCAUAGCCCGAACCCAUCUCUUAAUCUUGGAAUUCAAGCUGGCCCACUCCAAUUUCAGCACAUCCUCAAUGCUAAGUUUCUCCAUUUCAAGGAUAAAGAGACAUUCAUCCAAGGCAUCUCUUCUAACACUAAUAUAUGCCUGUGAACAUUCAUGACCAUAACCGGAGAUGAACAUUAUAUUUGCAAUAUUUCUGAGGUGAGAAAUAACUUCUGGAUUAACCAAAUCAAUGAUGAAAUCCUCUGAAGUUCUGCUAACGUUGUCUCUAUUAAUUGAUUCCUCAACUGAACCAUCUCCAAGAGAGAUAACAGAACCCAGCUCUGUAGCAUCCUCUUCACUUGAACGAAAAGACAUUUGCUCUGGCUCGAAAGGUUGCCUGUUCUGAACAAGCAUGUGCUUGAACUCUUCCUCAAGCCUUGCCAUUGCUAUUUGAAGGAUAUCAUGCGCCCUCAUCAACAGCUCCUUUUCCCCAGCAUCUUUAUUCAAAGACGACGUCUCCAACCUUUCAGCCAACUUCCUGGCUUCUUCAGUGGCAUUCAGAUACUGAGUAGCUUCAUCAAGACCAGAAUCCCAUAUCAUAGACUCAUCUGUCUCCCACCUCAUAAUCUUCUCCUGAAUAACAUUUAGCUGUCCUUCAAGCUCACCGCGUGUAUCAACCUUGAUUUCAUCGACUGUGCUUAUGUUAGACAAUUGACUGCUAAGGUCUGCCAAAAUUUUCUUGGCAUUGUCAGUGAGAUUCUUUUUUGAUCCCAACGCCCUUGCAAUGUGUUUCGCCGCAGCAAUCAAGUCUUCUUCUCCUUCCAACUCUGGAAUCACAGACCCACAAUCCCCCAUAGGUACAGAUUCCUCAAAACACCGACCCAACUGAUCCCCUUUUUGAUUUUCGACAAUCAAUUAAAUUCAGGUGCAGACUUGCUCGUCUUAGAUCACUUUUCCACCGUGCUAGAUUGGUAUCUAAAAUCCCAAGGAAUAUACUUCAAUUCCCAAAAAUCCUGCUACUUUCUAGAUUGGAAUUUCAAGUAGCCGAUCCCAAAUGAUAACUGGUGAAAAAAGCAAAUCAUAAACUGAUCAAAUAAAGAAAACAAAAACAACUACAAAAGCAUAAACCCAAUAUGAUUACAAUUUCCAAUUGCAAUAAUUAGCAAUAAUAAAUCAUUAGUAUCAAGAGAACCACUAAACAAAAGAAGAAGAAGACCCAAAAGCUGAAGAUCGCAAUAGUAACAAGGAAAACGUGCAGACAUCACAAAAAGGAUGUAAAGAAAUACCAUAAACAAAGACAAAAAGGAGAUAAAGACAGAGAUAAAAUAGAAAAAUUUAAAAAAUUAAAACUUGAAGCACACCUGAAAAAGAUCAGCAAGAUCUGCAAGGGGAAAGUGCAAAGCAGCAGCAGCAGAAAAGGAAAGAAAGAGCAGGGUUUCAGAUAAAAAAGUAACCAAAUGUACGGGGAGUACAAUGAAGAACCCAAGUGAGAUUUCCUUUGUGGAGGUUCAUGGAAGUUGCAGGUUUUUGUUUUUCUCUCCAACUGAUUCUACAGACUACAAUUCCAAAGUCUGAUCUCUCACUUUCUUGGUUCUAUUCUUUUUCUAGGAGCAUGCUUACUUCUUCACGUAUCAGUGGUAAUGCUCUUUUUCUUUUUCUUUUUUCUUUCCCAUAUAAAUAAAUAUUUAUUCCUUUCUCAUGGGUGACUAUGAUUUCAAUCUAUUUUUCUAAAAUAUUAUACAUAAAUUAUUAAUUAACUUUAAUAUACAUUUAUAUAUGUAUUAAAUUUUUAUACUUAAUGAUUUUUAACUAAUAUUUUUAAAAUAUGAAACUAAUACGUGUCACUGGGCACACCAAUUUUUAUACUUUACUCGAUGAUUUUUAUCCUCUCUCACCGCCAUCAUUUUCAAACGAAGUGAUUAAUUCUGAAAUUUUCUCUCUCACGGUGUGAUCUUAAAACCUACGUUCAAUUUUAUACGUCAUAAUCAUGGUGUUCUCGAGAUAGAAUUUUCUCAGAAAUCAUCGUCAGGAUUUGUCUACAUAGAAUUUAUUUUCUUAUUUUAUUUUAUUAACAUUAUAAUCAAUUAAAUUAUAAAUUAAUUUUUUAAUAAUUUUUAUAAAAAUACAACUAUUUAACUCUUAAAUUUUAUAAAAUAUAAUUAUUUAAUAUCUAAAAAUUAAAAACACAUCUAAUUCACAUUCAUCUAAAUUCAAUAAAAAAUUUGCGUUUAAGAACAUAAUAAUAAAAGUGAGGAAGUAAAUAUUAAUAAUAAAAAUAUUAAAAUAGUAACUGAAAUUUUUUUUUAAAAAAAAUUCUGAUAUCAAAUUAUUUAUUUAGAAAUAAAAUCUAAAAAAUCUGCUUUAAAUUGAUUAGUUAUUAAUAGUCUGAGAUUCAGAAAAUGGGACUUACAGUAGUUGAGUGAAUUUAGAUGAAGAGGAAGAAAUUCCUCCUUUUUUAUUUCCUUAUCUUUGUUUGCUAGUGACGUCUAACGAUCUCUCUAUUAUAUUGCCACAUGUCUAUAUCAUGCGAGUCAUACGUAGAAAAGUAUCAAAAUUUUUAUUCACGUCAAGCGGCCAUUAUCUUUGUUUGCUAAUGACGUCUAACGGUCUCUCUAUUAUAUUGCCACAUGUCUAUAUCAUGCGAGUCAUAACUAAAUUCAAUAAGAAAAAGUCCAGUUCGAUGACAUGACACAAGAAAGAAUAGCAGAUCUAAUCACUUCGUAUCCUCGUCUGUUUGCACGCAAAAAAGAAUUAAUGGCCGCUUGACGUGGAUAAAAAUUUUGAUACCUUGUGGACAAUUAUGCCUAGGUUAGAACUAGAAAUAUUAGACCGAUCAUUUAAAGAAGGUUUCAUGGGUCUGACCUUGUUUUGGUGAAAUCCAGCGUGCAGUAAUCACUUAUGAAUUGUAAAGAUUUUGAUAUUAUGUAACCUAAUAUCUACUGUUUUGUGUUGAAAAUAGCAACCAAUUGGCAUUUUUGUCCUUCUUUUUAGUGACAAAGAAGAGGUGUUUUCAUUUUUCAAAUUUCAGUCACCCAGUAUUUAUCAUUAUUAUAAAAUAUAAUCAACAUGAUUUUAUAUUAUUUACCAAAAUUUAUGCAUAAUUAAUUAUUUUAUUUUAAUAUACAAAAUCUGUACUAAUAUUUAAUUUAAGCAUGGUAGAAUUGGCAUUUCAUAAUUAUAUAAAUAAAUUUAAAACAAUUAUUUUUAUUUUUAAACAAUUUUUUAAUUUAAUAAAAUGAAUUAGACUUGAUUUCGUUUUCAGAGACCUAAACAUUAAUCCUGAUAUAUAUAAUAUGGUAAGAGGAUAUUUUCUAUGACGAGUAUUUAGAAAACAUCGUUGUAUGAUCUGUUGGAUAUUGGUUAUUAUUGCUUUGAAUCAUUAAAAAUUGCUACCACCUAACAAAAAGUCUUAACUAAUAGUGAAUCUAUAAGAUAAGAUUUUUUUUAUGAUAGCUUUUUCAAAGAUAGAUAUGAUAUUAGGACUAAACAACAAACAUAAAACAAAAGAAUUCCGACCAAGACAAUCUGACCAGUCUUUGUUUUCAGAAUACCAAAUUAUAAAAAAGAUUUUUUUUUUAAAAAGAGCUUAUAAUUUUGCAUAUAUAAGCAACAGCCCUGCAUUUUGCUUUCUCUAAUACACAAUUAGGCUUUCCUCUUUCCCUGUCUACGACAACAACAAUACAAAGUCAGUUUAUUUUAUUCGUAGAAAAUAAUUUAUAUUUAAAGAAUAUUUUAUAUGAAAAAUUUUUUCAUGAAAAUUAUUUUUUAAUAAAUAAUUUAUUUUUAUUAUUAAAUUUUAAUUUAAAAAAUAAUAUAUAUUAAUAAAUUUAUAUAUAAAAAUCUUAAUAAAAUACUAUUAUUAUACAUAUAAAAUUUUAGGAGUCUUAUGUUGCAAAUUAAAAUUUAACAACAAUAUCCAUAGUUGAGAACAAGGGCUUUUCUUUUCAGCCCCUUCAACACAACCAGGCUAGACUCCGUCCAACAUGUUAUCUCCAAGUAGUCCUACAACAUUUAAGGCUAUGUGGGUCAACUUGCCGCCCAGUUAAUGAACUUGGCAACGGCCAUGGGCCACCACUUGGAUGUGAUCACAAGUACUGUCCUUGAAUUCUACCAGGACUGUCCUUGAAUUCUACCAGGACAUUGAACUGAAGAUAGAAGAAUAAGUUGAGGUUUGAGUCUUGACCAUUAAAUCACAAAAAAAAAUCUCCUGUAGGGCAGUGAUUUUUUAGACCCCUGGAAGAGAUCCAGUAAAAAAUUUUCUAAGUCGUCAAAACUGUACUUAACGUUCUUGGGGGUUAUAAAAUUGGAAUAUCUUCCCACAAAUGUUCGGUAGGCCUGAAUCACCUUAGUUGUUAUUGAAAUAUGCAAAUCUUCUCGAAGCGCAGCAUCAGGGAUGAGCCAUGCUGUUUGAGUCCUGUAAACCUCCUCAAAAGCAAGAUGAAACCUCCGAAGCUUCUCCUUGAUAAGGUUUUUUGAGACAGAAUAAGAAGGUCCCACAACCAUCAACAAAGACAACACUGAAACCCAAGUAGUUCUCUCGUAGCUCAUCAGACGCUGUUGGACUUUCCAGUUGAGCUUUCGUAUCCAGUCAUCAGCAAAUAAAUGCAUAAGUUUCAAAUUGUCAAGCUCUUGAGCCAUGUAAUGUAUGUUGUUCAUCAAGAAGAUAUGCUGCAAGGAAGGAUCCCUGUAUAACUUGGCCGUGUCAUCGAGGUUGCAUUCUAGAAUUGAAGCAACAGAUCGGCAGUGGAGAGCCAUAGGGGAAGCAUCAUAUGUAAUUCCACUUGGGACAGGGGACAAUGAAAUGGGAUCC